UACAUACCUUCUGGAAGUGGCAAAACUUCAAUGGCAGCUACAAUUGGUAUAGAGAGUGAUUUCCCAUAUGUCAAGAUGAUAUCUGCAGAAAGCAUGAUUGGCC